rnacentral:rRNA from 1 species
CCUGGUCGGACAUCAGGAGGUUAGUGCAAUGGCAUAAGCCAGCUUGACUGCGAGCGUGACGGCGCGAGCAGGUGCGAAAGCAGGUCAUAGUGAUCCGGUGGUUCUGAAUGGAAGGGCCAUCGCUCAACGGAUAAAAGGUACUCCGGGGAUAACAGGCUGAUACCGCCCAAGAGUUCAUAUCGACGGCGGUGUUUGGCACCUCGAUGUCGGCUCAUCACAUCCUGGGGCUGAAGUAGGUCCCAAGGGUAUGGCUGUUCGCCAUUUAAAGUGGUACGCGAGCUGGGUUUAGAACGUCGUGAGACAG